rnacentral:ncRNA from 1 species
UGUUAGUGCAGUGAAUAAGGCAGUAAGCAAGCGCCUCAAGCCCUUGCCGAUGAGUCGUCAUUGACCUAGUGUGACUCUGCCGCUAUAGAUUACGCGCACUAACA